rnacentral:rRNA from 1 species
CCUACGGGAGGCAGCAGUGGGGAAUUUUCCGCAAAUGGGCGAAAGCCUGACGGAGCAAUACCGCGUGAGCGAGGAAGGCUCUUGGGUUGUACACCUCUUUUCUCAGGGAAGAAUACAAUGACGGUACCUGAGGAAUAAGCAUCGGCUAACUCCGUGCCAGCAGCCGCGGUAAUACGGAGGAUGCAAGCGUUAUCCGGAAUUAUUGGGCGUAAAGCGUCCGCAGGUGGCAGUUCAAGUCUGCUGUCAAAGGUCAGGGCUCAACCCUGAACAGGCAGUGGAAACUGAACAGCUAGAGUGCGGUAGGGGCAGAGGGAAUUCCCAGUGUAGCGGUGAAAUGCGUAGAGAUUGGGAAGAACACCGGUGGCGAAAGCGCUCUGCUAGGCCUGCACUGACACUCAGGGACGAAAGCUAGGGGAGCGAAUGGGAUUAGAUACCCCAGUAGUCCUAGCCGUAAACGAUGGAUACUAGGCGUAGCUUGUAUCGACCCAAGCUGUGCCGUAGCUAACGCGUUAAGUAUCCCGCCUGGGGAGUACGAACGCAAGCGUGAAACUCAAAGGAAUUGACGC